CCAGUUGCUCCUAUUACUUGGCGACCAUAUUGUAGAAGCUGUGUAUAGGUUUGUUGAUACUAUAUAAUAUGCGUAUAUUUGAAGUGCUGGAAAAGUAUUAGGGCAAGCAACGACUAUUAAUAUUACUCGAGAAGAAGUUGUUCUCCGUUCUGGUGAAUUUCUUUAUGACUUAUUGGCGCUGUGAGCUUCGCGCUAGUACAAUAGUUUACAUAAUUGACACUUAAAUUAGCAGGCUCCACCAUUUUGAUAUGAUCGAUAUAAUUGAUGCAAAUAUGAGCGUCUCUGUACUAGAAUAAUUCAUAUUAAGAAGGGCGCAGCGGCAUCGUACAGGUCAGCAUAAUGUUUAAAGCUUGUGUGAUAGGGCUAACUAUUUUGGACUCCAAAACAGGCUUCGACUUGAACGUCAUAACAAAGCCAUUUUCACCAGCUAAAGUCAGCCUAAUAUCACACAUUAACGGACAAAGGAAUACUAGAUAAACCGUUAGGCAAUCCCUUAUGCUCUCUGUGUUGAUUACCUAAGUGAAUGUAUGUGAUGAAAGCUGGGAAAAUAGCUGUGAAAAUUGUUUUCUUUGACUAUUUAGCGACAAUAACAGUGAAUUUGCGUUAAUUUCAUAAAUGAGCAUCAUUAUUUUAAUAAAUAGCUUUCAAUCGCAUAUGUAAAUCUUCUUCGUUUAAUAAUGUUGAUCUACUUGGAAAAUAUCUUAAAAUGAACAUCGAUUCAUUGGAAAAAAAAACUGUUUACUAAAUGGUUUAACCCUUCGGUGUGUACUUCUCUGUUCCUCAUGUAUCGAAAAUAAUGGGCGACAAUUCUCUUAAAAUGUAGUGCAAAAGUGCAUUGUAACGGUAAUCGAAAAUUCAUCGGCUGCUACGAUUCCACUCUACGCACAUCUGUCGGUGAAGCGCGGCUGUUAUCGCAUGUGCGUGCUAACGUAAUCAGAAAUGCAGAUCAGGAGCUACAAGCCAUCGUCUGCCCUCGACUCGACAUGCAAUCCGCAAACAACUGUCCAAUCGUGCCUCCCCCAGAUCCCCACAACAGGCCGGAAUGUCGUUGCCCCCCCUUUUAUAAGCGCUGUCCAGGACCUUGUUAUCAGAACUUCUGCUUAGGACCGGCAGGACUAGCCGACAUGGUGCACUGCAACCAUUUUACUGCAGUCUAAAAAGAUACAGAUCAGUUAUUAACUGAACAGCGUAAAUAAAUGCGUUUUUCAUUCAUUUCGGAACCGAAAUUCAGAAUCUUUGCAUAUAUCAUUACGAUGUUAGCCGAUUUUAACAAACUGAUUUUUUGAUGAAGCUUAGCAUACUUAGCGUACAUAGUAUUAUAAAUAUACGUUUGUGUAAAAACAAACGCAGAAUUUCAGAUAACACUCGUACGUGCGUUUAUAGUUGCAAAUACUUUCUGCUCAUAUAUUAUCAGUCGGUAACACGUAGCAAGUUUAAUGUGGUCUUUUACCACUUCAUAAAGUAUAACCUAAAUAUAUAUACAAAAAUAAC